AUGCUGUCACUCUUCCAAGCAUUACCUCUCUCAGUCCUUGGAGCUUGUUGUGUGUAUGGUACAGGUCAUCUAGACCAACCUCAACGUUCCAGUACUAAAAGGCUGUCAAAAACAGCCCACCUGGAAUGUGUGGUAUCUGGUGUAACAAUUUCUACGACAUCCAUAUAUUGGUAUGAGGAAAGCCCUGGUCCAGCCCUGCAGCCCCUGCUGCACGUUUCAUCUGACAACACUGUCAGGAUGGAGUCAGGCGUUCCAUUGGGAAAUUCAAGGUAGAAAAGAUACCUGAAACUUCUGCAUCUACCCUCACCGUUCACCAUGCAGGGAAAGAAGACUCGGCCACCUACUAUUGUGCACUGUGGGAAAAGCAAGUCCACAUUUGGAGCUGGAUCAAGAAAUUUGGAGAAGGGACAAAGCUCGUGGUAACUCCCUCUGGUAAACGCCUUCCUGCAGACAUUUCCCCCAAGCCCACCAUUUUUCUUCCAUCAAUUGCUGAAGUAAACCUCCAUAAGGCUGGAACAUAUCUUUGUCUUCUUGAGAAAUUCUUCCCUGAGGUUAUUAAGAUCUAUUGGACAGAAAAGAAUGGCCAUAGAAUUCUGGAAUCCCAGCAGGGAAAUACCAUGGAGACUGAUACCACUUACAUGAAAUUCAGCUGGCUGACCGUGACUGGAAAGUCAAUGGAUAAAGAACAUAAAUGCAUCGUCCAACACGAGAAUAAUGAAGGAGGGGUUGACCAAGAGAUUCUUUUUCCUUCAGUGAACAAAGUUGUCACCUCAAUUUUCACUGCUACUGAUUCUACAAAGGCUCAUCCAAAAAAGGAAAGCAAGGCCACUGCUAUUAAUUCUAUAGAAGCUUGUGUAAAAGACGAGGACAACACCCUGCAGCUCACCAGCACCUAUGCCUAUUACGGCUACCUCCUCCUCCUCCUCAUGAGCGCAGUCUACUUUGCCAUCAUCACCAUCUGUUUGCUUAGGAGAACAGCGGCCUGUGCCAAUGGAAAGAGUUUGUAACAGACGGUGGCACAAAGAACUCAACUUUUCUCCAUUGUUUAGUCUCCCUAAAACUGUCUGCCGAGGAUCUAGCUGGGAUUUCUCUCUGGCUUUCGGUUAUUUCAGUGCACUAUUAUGUUGUUAUUGUGUAGUGGUUUUUCAAAGCACUGGGCAAAUAGAGACUUUUACUCUGGAACAACAAUGAAUGAUUCUAUUACUCAGGGGCAGGGCCAUGGGGUAGUCCUGUAGCACCCCUCUCUCAAUGAUCUCCAUCAGCUCCUCCAACAACCUAAAUACCUAUGCCUUCUGAGUACAGACAGCAUGCAGCUAUAGUCAUGUCCCUUAGGGCCAUUUAACCAGAUGACCACCUAGGACCCUUCCAUUUUACUCAUUCUGAGCCUGAUAUCUUUGCUAUUUGAAUUCUGUACUUUGUUUUCCAUAACGGCCACAAUAAAAAUUCAAAAGUCUA